GACCUCGUAGCUCAGUGGAUUAGAGCGCUUCCCUGCGAAGGAAGAGGCCGCGCGUUCAAGUCGCGCCGGGGUCA
rnacentral:tRNA from 1 species